UGGGACUGAGACACGGCCCAGACUCCUACGGGAGGCAGCAGUGGGGAAUAUUGCACAAUGGGCGAAAGCCUGAUGCAGCGACGCCGCGUGAGGGAUGACGGCCUUCGGGUUGUAAACCUCUUUCAGCAGGGACGAAGCGCAAGUGACUGUACCUGCAGAAGAAGCACCGGCUAACUACGUGCCAGCAGCCGCGGUAAUACGUAGGGUGCGAGCGUUGUCCGGAAUUAUUGGGCGUAAAGAGCUUGUAGGUGGCUCGUUGCGUCGGGAGUGAAAACCCGCGGCUUAACCGCGGGCCUGCUUCCGAUACGGGCGAGCUAGAGUUCGGCAGGGGAGACUGGAAUUCCUGGUGUAGCGGUGGAAUGCGCAGAUAUCAGGAGGAACACCGGUGGCGAAGGCGGGUCUCUGGGCCGAUACUGACACUGAGAAGCGAAAGCGUGGGGAGCGAACAGGAUUAGAUACCCUGGUAGUCCACGCCGUAAACGUUGGGAACUAGGUGUGGGGUCCAUUCCACGGGCUCUGUGCCGCAGCUAACGCAUUAAGUUCCCCGCCUGGGGAGUACGGCCGCAAGGCUAAAACUCAAAG
rnacentral:rRNA from 1 species